rnacentral:rRNA from 1 species
UAACGCGUGGGUAACCUGCCUCAUACAGGGGGAUAACAGUUGGAAACGACUGCUAAUACCGCAUAAGCCCACAGCUCGGCAUCGAGCAGAGGGAAAAGGAGUGAUCCGCUUUGAGAUGGCCUCGCGUCCGAUUAGCUAGUUGGUGAGGUAAUGGCCCACCAAGGCGACGAUCGGUAGCCGGACUGAGAGGUUGAACGGCCACAUUGGGACUGAGACACGGCCCAG